CUUGAUUAUGAUUCACCUUGAAUGUAGUUGAUCAUUAAUUUCUGUAUUACUGGUUUUAGUGUGAAACAUCUGAAAGACAUGGCUCCAAUUUUCUUAACAGCCCCAGUUUUCUGUUCCAGACUUGGCACCACAACCAGAGGCAGCAUUGUAAUCUCCCUAUGGAAGACUUCCACUUGUGGGAACCAGUUCAGAACCACCAGAAAGAAGAAGUAAAGCUUACCCAGCCUGAAAAGAAUAUUCCUGUUUCCAGAAUAAAAUGCAGAAGCUUGUUUCCAGUCUUUCCACUGUCUCCCAUUGUCAGAUAGAGAAGAGGAGGAAGUGAGGACAUGUAAGAGAGAACAACAUGGCAGCAUCAAGGUCAGUGGAGAAGGACAGGGAGGAGGUGCUCCAAGAGUUGAAACCAAAGUUCCUCUGCAGGCUGUGGUGAAGACCAUGGUGAAAAAAACUGUCCCUCUGUAAUCCAUGAAGUCCACAGGAGAUGCAGAGAUCCACUCACAGCCUGUGGGAAAAGUGCUCACGCCAGAGUGGGUGGAUGCCAGAAGAAACUGUGAUCCAGUGGGAGACCAGAAUAAAGAGAGAGGGCCACUGCUUCCAGAAAUAGAGAAGGAGACCCCUUGCUUCCAAACUAGAGCAGCCUAUCCUUAAAGGACUGCAACCUGUGGAGGAGUGACCCACACCACAACAAUUUUGGGAAGACCGUUUAUCCCGUGGGAGGCACCCACAGCAUAAUAAAAGAAAGACUCCUCUCCCUGAGCAAACUGAAAAAGAGC